CCUACGGGAGGCUGCAGCAAGGAAUUUUCCGCAAUGGGCGCAAGCCUGACGGAGCAACGCCGCGUGCGGGAGGAGGCCCUUCGGGGCGUAAACCGCUUUUCUCGGGGACGACGGACGACGGUACCCGAGGAAGAAGGACCGGCUAACUACGUGCCAGCAGCCGCGGUAAUACGUAGGGUCCGAGCGUUGUCCGGAGUUACUGGGCGUAAAGCGCGCGCAGGCGGUCCUUUAAGUCUGAUGUGAAAGCCCACGGCUCAACCGUGGAGGGUCAUUGGAAACUUGGGGACUUGAGUGCAGGAGAGAAGAGUGGAAUUCCACGUGUAGCGGUGAAAUGCGUAGAGAUGUGGAGGAACACCAGUGGCGAAGGCGACUCUUUGGCCUGUAACUGACGCUGAGGCGCGAAAGCGUGGGGAGCAAACAGGAUUAGAUACCCCUGUAGU
rnacentral:rRNA from 1 species